rnacentral:lncRNA from 1 species
CCAACUCUCUAUCAUUCACAAGUCACAAGAAAUAAAAUUGCCAUUCAUCUCAAACAAUCAAUAUCUUUACAUGCAAAUGCCAUCAAAAGGACUUUUCCAAGGCUUGUAAUGAGGUUGGGCUAACAGGAAGACUUGGUUUUUCUGGAAUGCAAAGUCCUUGAAUCAAGAGAGCUAUAAUAAUAUUCAUCAUUUAAGCACAACUCUCUUCCUCACCAAUCUCACUCAUUCCCAACUUUUUCUCCUUUUCUUUUUCAUUGAGCUCAUCUUCAUGCUUUUCUUCUUUUCUUUUCUUUUUCUCAUCUUUUCACAACAUUUGAGCUCAAUGUUUUUCACAUGCCUUUCAAUUUCCCCCAUGCAACCCCAAACUUGAA